CCAGACUUGCAUUAGGAUUCCGAUCCAAUGUAUACCAAGUCCCAAAUUAAGCAAGUAGAGUAGAUUAAGGUUGGAAGUCAGCUUUGGUUUCUCGAGGCAUUAUCAGUAAGUGUGGACGUGAGUAACACGUGAUACACUGCAGUGUUUCCAUCUAAUACAUCUCGCAGUUAAUAAACCUAAAUGGUGCUAGAGAGUGGUUAGAGUAGUAAUUAAAUUGUAGAAGAUCAUAAUCUCUCUCUUAACUCAAUAAAACCUUUUAUUAAAAACUCUUUGUAAUUUUUUUAUUUUUUUAUUUAUUUUUU
rnacentral:lncRNA from 1 species